rnacentral:rRNA from 1 species
UACGUAGGGUGCGAGCGUUGUCCGGAAUUAUUGGGCGUAAAGAGCUCGUAGGCGGCCUGUCGCGUCGGAUGUGAAAGCCCGGGGCUUAACCCCGGGUCUGCAUUCGAUACGGGCAGGCUAGAGUGUGGUAGGGGAGAUCGGAAUUCCUGGUGUAGCGGUGGAAUGCGCAGAUAUCAGGAGGAACACCGGUGGCGAAGGCGGGUCUCUGGGCCGAUACUGACGCUGAGGAGCGAAAGCGUGGGGAGCGAACAGG